CAGCUACAAGGCAGACUUGCUUCCUUUGACGUUAGCGGCGGACGGGUGAGUAACACGUGGGUAACCUACCUCUAAGACUGGGUAACUUCGGGAAACCGGGGCUCAUACCGGUAAUAUUUUCGAACCGCAUGGGUCGAUAGUGAAAGAUGGUUUUGCUAUCACUUAUAGAUGGACCCGCGCCGUAUUAGCUAGUUGGAAGGUAACGGCUGACCCAGGCCACGAUACGUAGCCGAACUGAGAGG
rnacentral:rRNA from 1 species